rnacentral:lncRNA from 1 species
GAACCCAGCAGUUUUUAUUUUUUAUAUUUUACAACAACACCAGGAUGGCCAGGGCUACCCAGAGAAACCCUGUCUCAAAAAACAGAAAGUAAUUUUUGUGGAGACUUGGCCUCCCAUUAAGCGGGAGCAUAAGUGCCAUUCUUUCAGCAUGGGCCAUACAAAACUUUCUUUGAAAAAUGGCAAGUCCAGAGAAAGGACUUUACAACAGAGAGGCCUCCAAAGCACCACCUUGACCAGGUGAUCAAGGUCUACAUUAGCGAUGAUGUCAUAUUGACCUGUUCUCUUGCUGUGAUGUGAUGUGAUGCUUUACCUUUGUGAUGUGCAACAUGGUUCUGAAAACCUGACCUGGAUGACAGGAGAAAAGAGAGAGGACUAACACACAAGAGACACAUGCAGAAAAGCUGGGAUCAGGUGGGCUAUGUUCACGAUGAUGGAGGCGGACCAAUUACACAGCAACCCAGAACCUCAGGACAACAUCUACAGGGGGAGGAGAGAGUUAGUUAGUUAGUGGGAGGCCUCUGUGGGGAAGCAGUCUCAGGCUGCAAGCAUCCAGGAGGAGGAAGCUGUGGUGGAUACCUUCUCUACACUGUCAAUAUCCCACACAGACCAGAGGGAUGGUUUUCCGGUUCUCUGAUUCUGACCCAAGGAAAGCUUUGUCAGUUCCCAUGGGUCUGGGGACAGAAGAGUAGCAGAGGCCAAGGGAGCAGCCAUUUCUUUUUCCAGAAGAGAACGAGGGUAACAAUGGAAAACUCUCCACGUAAACUGCCUACUUACAGAAACUGCACAGCAAAAACCUAUUUGUGUUCAAGUAAAUGGGAUUGAUGUUUGCAGCUGCCGUGUGGGGAAACAUUUUUAUGGCCUCCCUAUCAAUCCGGGCCCCUGGCAGUAGCUGUGUGGGUGGGUACUAUGCUAUAAAAGUUUGACUUUCUGUUCCUGCCCUUAUUCUGAAUGAUGACAUGGAGACUUAAAUGUAUUUAUUAUAAGCUUUAGGUAUAAUAGCUGGGCAGACUCUGGCUAUUCUAACCUAACAAUACUGACCUGGCCUACAUCCUGCCAUGUCACCUGGCAUGGCCUCUGGCCUGGCGGGGUCAGAGAUGAGAAGAGACUGCAUGAGUGAGAUGUGGCAGAGCAGCUGAAAAGCAGACACUUCAUGGUAGGAGGAAAUUGUUCCCGCUCACAGCAAUUUCACCAAACCGAACAAUUCUCUUUAAAGAGCAAGCUCAAGGAGAUACAAAUGGCUCUCAGGAAAUCAGCUCGAAGUGACUGCAGAAAAGUGUGCCUCUCACAAAUCCUCAAUCCGCUGAUUUAUGGGCAAAUUUCUAUGCCAUUAGAGGACUGUGAGUUAUAGAUGUUCACCACAUUGUGCUCCCAUACAAGCUCAGUAAAAAUCUUUUCUGAAUCAAUCACCUUGUUCUUCAGAAGCACUCAGAGUUCACCUUUCAUCUCUAAGAUCAUUAACUAAAAGUCACUUCCAGAGGGAGAUCCUUUUAGCUACGGAGCCAACCAGUUCUCUCUUGGGGCAUAUGCAACAUUCUAUUCUUGAAAGCCAUGUGAGGCACACGUUCGUCUCAUGACACAAAGGUUUAUCUGAGUCUCAGGAAGGCCCAGCAUCCUGUUGAUGCCUCCAGAGUUAGUUCUGGACACAGAGAUCAACAUGUCCAAAAUAUUCACACACAUAUAUAUCCUCCUCUUUCUUCUGUAGCUCCUCAAAUCGUUUUAAAAAAAUCACCCAGUUUUGUUAAUGGGUCAAUACCAAGGAGACUUCUGGCAGGAUCACAGGUCACUUAAAGGGAAAUGGAGUAGAUCAAUCUAAAACAGUGGGUAAGUGUAUCAUAGGAAACGGACCGCUGCAGUCCGAUAGAUUCAGUACAAGUUUUAUAAAACAGAAUAUGAAUGGCCCCAUCCCAAACUCUACUAGUUAUCACCUCUAAGAAACAGUAGGCUAGGGGUCAGAGGGAGAAUGUGGGG